rnacentral:lncRNA from 1 species
UAGAAGGUGGAGGAAGAAGUAACUGAAAACGGAUACGAGGCUGAUGAGGCCAACCCUUGAGUAUCGACAUGGAGCAAUUCUAUGCCAUCCACUUACUAGGCUCUCUCGUUCUCUCUCUGACCUUUUGCUCUUGUUUCUUUUCUUUAGUGACUGUAGUUUUUGUUUCUCAAUGGUAGAUACUCUGAUUGUUCAUGAGAUAUCUGUACGUAAAAUCAUAGAUUUUAGGUCCUAAAAAUUUGCAGCCUUGUCCUCUAGAAGGAAUUAUAGCCUAAAGAGAUCUUUGUAUCAUUACUACCUUACAUCAUAUAUUAGACCUUCGGUGUGGAGGGAAUUUGUAGGUUGCUUAGAUCCCUGUAGCCUGGUGUGAUAGAACUCAGUAAUGUACGCUUGUAAUAAGUCCAUGUUCUGUUACUGUUGACUCUUAAACCCUGUAGCAUGGUGUGACAGAACUCAGUAAUGUACGCUUGUAAUAAGUCCAUGUUCAGUUACUGUUGACUCUUAACAAUUCAUGUCGCUUGGUUUCUUCUUCAAUGCAGGUUUAUGUAGCGAAGAGCUGAAGAAGCAGCGAUUCUUUCAUUUCCACCAACAUAAAGAUAGUGACUAUCAAGAUUUUCUUGUUUGCCAAGAGUGCAGUAGGU